CAUCAAUCUUAAUAAUGAAAGAAAAAAACCCCAACGUGAAUAGCUGCCAUGCUACGCUUCUUGCGCUGGGCAGCUGAACACUACAUUUACUCGCUAAGCACAGCCCUAAUUCGUGUACUAUAACAUACUGCAGACUAUUAUUUCUUUAUUAUUCUUUGCCAGCGCUAGGAUUUUGUUCGUUUUGCAGGGAGCAAAAGGCCACUUAUGUUAUGCCCAUUAAACUGGUGUUGGCAUUCUACUUAAUUUGCUAUAAUCAACUUUAAUUAAAGUAAAGUGAGAUCAUAGAUGUCUAUUCCAAAAAAAAAAAAUGUAAUUAAAUAAAUAAAUAAAUUUAAAGCCCUGAACCUCACUUUACAGUUUCUGCAACAUCGAAGCUUUUCUACCCAGGUGUGCCAGCAACCGUCCAUUCCGCUUGUAUUUUCUUUUCUGCUAUAUUU